AUGCUUUGGAACAUUCCAGAGCCAAGAAAAGCCCUUCUUGUCACACAUUAUUUCUUAAUAAUUAGGGCCAGCUGUGCUUGGGCAAUUCCGGUCAAGCCAGAUGCCAAAACCCAUUGCAGACACAGGAAGAGCCUCAUCGUCAAGUCUCCAAACAAGCAGUCGAAAAUCAAAAGAGAAGAUCUCAUAAACUACAAAUCAGGAUUGCCUUUGUCUUCAGAAUCAGUGAUGUCUGUACUCACGGGUUAGUUCUACUCCAUUUUCAGGGGCAUCUCUGUAUCAUUGCCCCCGAAAUGUAGAACUCAUCUUUGACCACAGUGAGAUGCUUCCCCAAACUUCCAGAUGCUGCAAUGAAUGGUAAGGCCAGAUGAAAGAGAAUCAGAUUUGUAUUCUGUUGAUAGAUACCCAGUGCAGGGCAUGGGGUGGGGGCCAGGCCUGUGAAAAAGAAUUCAGCUUCCUCAUUUCGUGGCAUUUAUUUGCUCAUUAUUGAAACUAACGAAACUGCCCAGGAGCCUUUUGGUUUUGCCUUUCUUUAGUGUGCCUUCUUUUCUAAAAACUGUCUCUUAUAAUCGCUUCAUGUUACGCUGGAAGGUCCAUACCGAUUUUCGCUGAGAAUCACAGAAAUUUUCUUUUCAUAUUAAAAAAAAUUAAAUGAAAGGUUUAUACUUUUAUAGUUCUUUAUACUUUUCAAAAGCUUCACACACAUGAUUUCAUAUACUCUCCUGUAUGAUUUCAUAUACCCCCAUAUUGCCCUCCCCCCCACCCCGACCCCCUGCUGGUAACCUCUAGUUUGUUCUUUGUGAGUCUGUUUCUUUUUUGUUUUAGUCACCAGUUUCUUGUAUUUUUGAGAUUCCACAUAGAAGUGAUAUCAUACAGAAUUUAUCUCUCUCUGUCUGACUUAUUUCACUUAGCACAGGGUAGAACCAUAGGCUUUUACAGUUAGCAGACACCUGCCUGGAGUUUCUGGAAGUUUCCAUGUACACCUGGGCAGACUUAUUCGGCUGGCUCUAGGUGCUGCGGUCUCAGGCCACAGCCAUGGGAAGUGGAAGUGGUCUCCAGAUGUUAAGGUCCCCCUGGCCUGGCUCACCUCCCCUCCCUUAGAGAGGGCGUCCUUCACUCUCCAGUGAUACGGAGGCCUUAGGGAAGCUGCUUCCUCAGGGUUCAGAUCGUCUCUGGAAAGGACUCACACCUGAGUCUUGUGUUGCUCAUGAGUCAAAAGCCAGUGACCAACACUCUGCUAUACUCAGCACUUUAAUGACAAGGACUAACUAUGGGUCAGGUGGCCCCUCUGAGGCACCUGCUCCCCUUAGAAUGAGUUCUUUCCCAAGAGGUUCCUUUGUUCUUCAAGCAAAUCCACAUCCUCUAGGCCGCCUUCCCACAACCCCCCGCUGCCCCCACCCCGUGUACGAUUUAUGUCUAUAAUUGAAUCCAAGAUGCACCCCAGAUCUGUACUCUUUGCCAUGUAGAAAUAUCAUCAAUUUGGAGUUCCUGUUGUGGCACAGCGAAAACGAAUCUGACUAGGAACCAUGAGGUUUCAGGUUCCAUCCCUGGCCUCAAUCACUAGUGGGUUAAGGAUCCAGCAUUGCCAUGAGCUGUGGUGUAGGUUGCAGACAUGACUCGGAUCCUGCGUUGUGUGGCUGUUGUGUAGGCUGGCAGUUGUAGCUCCAAUUUGACCCCUAGCCCGGGAAACUAAAAGGCAACCUGUGGCCCUAAAAACCAAAAAGAAAAAAAAAAAAAAAAAAAGAAGAAAAAAAAGAAAUAUCAUCAAUUUAUUUGCUGUUGAUUAUUAAUCAAAACCCUUGCACAAAUGCAAUUAAAUAAUUUUCCUUGUUCUAUGUUUCACUACCUCAUGUUCGUUUAAUAUGUAUGUCAGAUCCAGGGUGGAUCCCUAGUAUACUAGGAAUUUUCUUAAGUACAGAAUAAUAGUGGAGCCUUAAAGGAUCCCCUUGGCUUGAAGGGAGGGUGUGUGAGCUCACCUUUGUGAUGAAUGUGGUCUGAAAUAAGACUCUUGUUCUCUGUCCCUCGAUUUUUCCCAUCCAUAGUAGCUUUCCCCCAUCUGCUCUGCUGGUAGACAGGGGCGGAUCCAUGCUUUGUGGGGCCUAAAGCUAGUAUAAUCUUUAGCAUCACCUUCAAUAAAAAGAACACAAGAUACA
ensembl:lncRNA